rnacentral:lncRNA from 1 species
GUUGAUAUUACUAAUUCUUGUAAAUGUUUUAAUUGAAGGACACUCGCAUCUGAAGAUAGCGGGAGUUUAACAAAUUGCGGAUAUGAUGAUGGAACGGUCCGAGAUGUGACAAGAAGAGCAUACUCAUCAAGGACCUAAAUCGCGUAACGAUCGCAAAUAAGUAAUGGCAAGGAAUGCCCGUCGGGGCAAGCAUUACCAGGUGCACAUUUUAAACUUAUAGUACAAACAGUAAUAUGCAACAAAUACAUAGUGAAUGACAGUUGCAUAUAGAAUAUGAAACUUGGAAAAACCUGGAUAGGUUACCUAUCCAGGAUGACGCUUCCAAGAGAAAUUCAGUAGAGAAUAUGUAUUAUUCACAAAUUGUGAAUAACAAGACAAUAACAGAAUUCAGUUUAUAUAGAAACUUGGACGAGAGUGAUCAUCCAAGUAAGUAUUCUCAAUAUAAAUCCUAUUGAGAAAAGUAAUGAUCACAUCAACAAAUGUGAAUAAAUGUUUAUAAAAAGGGACAUUUUACAUGUUCAAGGAUAAACGACUAAAACUAAUAAUUGUUAACUAACAAUUAAAUAAAGUUUUACCAAAUGAAAUCAUAAAUAUGGAAAUAAUUUGAGGAGUUACUUACAUGGGACGUGAUGUGGUAAUUAUAAUAAGGUCACGCGUACCAUGUGUUGAUCGCUUACUCUGGCCAAGUAAGUAGUGAACACAUGAUAGCAUGAGCUUCUUAUAAUGAGCGCAGUUAUGUCCGAUGUAGUAAGGUCAAGAUGAAUGAAAAUUUAAAGGAUCCUUAGGGUCAAGAAAUCUUAUGGGCAUACUCGUAUAAAUGGUUUUCGCGGGAACCAUAAAAACGAUGUAUGGCGCACAUAGAAAUAAAUGACCCAAGGAAAUUCGUGACAUAAGUCAUUUCGGACGAAACAACCAUGGUAGACAAAAAGGGCAUUGUAAAACCAAAGUAUAAAUGACCCGCGGGGUCAUAGAAACAAAGGUAUUGCCCACAUGGGAAAAACGAUCAAAGUCGUUGACUUUGGUCGCAGUAAAGAAAUGAUGAUGAUGAUGAUAAUCAUCAUUCAUAGUUUAUAAGACUGUCAAGGAUGGUCGAAUAAAGAAUAAAGGUUUGGUUGAAUAAAAGCGAUGGAUUUCGCUAAGACAACCAAACAAAUUAAAACGAAAUCUUAAUGUAUACCGGAAUGCUUGCACUAAUAAU